CAGUAAUUUUUAACCAAGGAAAAUGUUUUGUAAGAGUGAAAAGUUGGUGGGACACUGAACGCUGACAUUCAGACAGAUGAAAGGCAGAAUGCUGUCACUUGCAGGUAUCCCUGCGAGGAGGAUGUCAUACAGGGCCGCACAAAGGUUGCUCCAGAGAUAGGGAAGCAGCAAGCUGGAGCUGUCAGAGGCAACUUAUGUAAGAUGAAGAUUGGAACUUUAGGAUGAUGCCUCCUUGAACUUGGGGCAAUUUGCUGGCUUCAUCGACAGCCUCACACUUGCAGCUGUAAAUGGGUCAGAUGCCACUGUAGAACAAUUUUCCAAAUCGUUCAUGAGCUCUCUACCUCUGCUUGAAAGUCUUUCAAACAUGGCAGAAUGGAGUGGGAUACCCUGUGCUCAUUUCUGAGUGACUGCUGGAUGGGCAUCUGUUUGUGCCUUCCCAGAAUGCAUUGCUUCUUCCCAACAUCUCAUCAUUUUUGCGUGGUGAAUCAUCUGUGCCAUGCUGUGGGUGCCUUUGCUGGGAGCGGGCGUUGUGACACAGUGGAUUAAGCUACUGCUUCAAGGCUACAUCUCAGACUGGAGUGCCAAUCACGGUCCUGGAUACUCUGCUUUCCAAAGAGUUCCCCAUUAAUGUGUUGGGGAAAGCAGCAGAAUAUGGCCUAAGUCCUUGGGCACCUUCUAUCCAUGUGGAAGAUCACACCAGGAUGGAGUUCCCAGCUCCUGGAUUCUGCCUGGCCAGACCUGGAUUUUGCAAGAAUUUGGAGAGUAAACCAGCAGAUGGAAGAUCUGGAAGAUCUUAUCUCUCUCUCUCCUCCUCUCUCUGUUACUCUGCCUUUCAAAUAAACAAAUAAAUAAAUAAAGGAUUUACAUCUGUCA